CCUACGGGCGGCAGCAGUGAGGAAUAUUGGUCAAUGGUCGGGAGACUGAACCAGCCAAGCCGCGUGAGGGAGGAAGGUACAGAGUAUCGUAAACCUCUUUUGUCAGGGAACAAAGACUGGGACGCGUCCCCGGAUGAGUGUACCUGAGGAAAAAGCAUCGGCUAACCCCGUGCCAGCAGCCGCGGUAAUAGGGAGGAUGCGAGCGUUAUCCGGAUUUAUUGGGUUUACGGGGUGCGCAGGCGGUCUGUUAAGUCAGCGGCAAAAGCCCGGGGCCAAACCCCGGCCCGCCGUUGAAACUGGCAGUCUCGAGUUGGAGAGAAGUAUGCGGAAUGCGCGGUGUAGCGGUGAAAUGCAUAGAUAUCGCGCAGAACUCCGAUUGCGAAGGCAGCAUGCCGGCUCCACACUGACGCUGAGGCACGAAAGCGUGGGUAUCGAACAGGAUUAGAUACCCCUGUAGUC
rnacentral:rRNA from 1 species